rnacentral:misc_RNA from 1 species
GAUGAAGAACGUAGCGAAAUGCGAUAAGUAAUGUGAAUUGCAGAAUUCAGUGAAUCAUCGAAUCUUUGAACGCACAUUGCGCCCGCCAGUAUUCUGGCGGGCAUGCCUGUUCGAGCGUCAUUACAACCCUCAGGCCCCCGGGCCUGGCGUUGGGGAUCGGCGGAGCCCCCCGUGGGCACACGCCGUCCCCCAAAUGCAGUGGCGGUCCCGCCGCAGCUUCCAUCGCGUAGUAGCUAACACCUCGCGACUGGAGAGCGGCGCGGCCACGCCGUAAAACACCCAACUCUUCUGAAGUUGACCUCGAAUCAGGGAGGAAUACCCGCUGAACUUAAGCAUAUCAAUAAGCGGAGGA